rnacentral:rRNA from 1 species
AACGAACGCUGGCGGCAUGCCUAACACAUGCAAGUCGAACGAGACCUUCGGGUCUAGUGGCGCACGGGUGCGUAACGCGUGGGAACCUGCCCUUAGGUUCGGAAUAACUCCCCGAAAGGGGUGCUAAUACCGGAUAAUGUCUUCGGACCAAAGAUUUAUCGCCUUUGGAUGGGCCCGCGUUGGAUUAGCUAGUUGGUAGGGUAAAAGCCUACCAAGGCGACGAUCCAUAGCUGGUCUGAGAGGAUGAUCAGCCACACUGGGACUGAGACACGGCCCAGACUCCUACGGGAGGGAGCAGUGGGGAGUAUUGGACGAUGGGCGAAGGCCUGAUCAAGCAGUGCGGCGUAAGUGAUGAAGGCCUUAGGGUUGUAAAGCUCUUUUACCCGGGAUGAUAAUGACAGUACCGGGAGAAUAAGCUCCGGCUAACUCCGUG